GGACCCGCUCCCAGCGGGGCGGGAGGAACUGGCGGGAGAGCGGGGCGGCCGGGGCAUGGUGAGCAGCCAUCUCACCCGUGGUCUCAAGCAGCACUGGGAACACCCACAACCCACAGGGUCCCUGGAGCCGCACAUGCACAGAGAAGAGUGGCUGUUGGGGCAGCUCUGACCGGGCCAGCGAGCCCCUGACCCCAGAGGUGGAUGGACGGCGGAGGAGAGGAGUGCUGAGAGCCAUGGCGGUCCAGAUGCCCAUGUUCUCCUAGCUGCUAGAGGCUGAGAGCAGCUGCUAGAGGCUGGAGCUGGACCUGCGUGCCCUGACCUUCCCACCCUGGUUGUGUGUGUGGGACCGUGACACACGGGAGCCUAAUCCACACUGUUUGUUUGCAUAGCUGUGAACGGGGGCUGAAGCCAAAUCCAUUAAGCAAGCAAAUAAAUAAGAAGGCGUGAGAUAAAGCGUCGGAGAAGAAAGAUGAAGCUGGUCAGCCUGCUGUGCUCCCCAGGCAGAGACCCCAAGCUUUCUGGGUGCCACACACAGCGUGACGGGACUGUUUCAUGCCGGCUCUGAGGGGAAUGGGCCUUUGCUUUCAAAUCCUGCCCAUCUUCCCCAGAAACAUUAGUUUGGUAGGGAAAGUGAGUUUUCUUCAAAGUUAAACAGUCUGAAGAGCAGAAGCCCGACCAACUGGAGUCAUGGCUGUUGCAGUAAUAGAAAAAGCUAUUUCAGGGUGGCAUGCUCCCUGCCGCAGCGGUUGGCCAGCCUCUUUUCUCCAGAGAGCAACUUUGCCCUUUCUAACUGCUGGGAAUUUUCUGCAGAGGUUUUAUUAGAAACACUUAGCUUUAUUUUAAACACAGAAUAAAAGUUAGCACCAGAACAAAAUGCA